rnacentral:rRNA from 1 species
UGGGGAAUAUUGGGCAAUGGGCGCAAGCCUGACCCAGCAACGCCGCGUGAAGGAAGAAGGUUUUCGGAUUGUAAACUUCUGUCCUAAGUGACGAAGGAAGUGACGGUAGCUUAGGAGGAAGCCCCGGCUAACUACGUGCCAGCAGCCGCGGUAAUACGUAGGGGGCGAGCGUUGUCCGGAAUGACUGGGCGUAAAGGGCGUGUAGGCGGCUGAUUAAGUCUGAAGUGAAAGUCCUGCUUUCAAGGUGGGAAUUGCUUUGGAGACUGGUCGGCUUGAGUGCGGAAGAGGUAAGUGGAAUUCCCAGUGUAGCGGUGAAAUGCGUAGAUAUUAGGAGGAACACUGGUGGCGAAGGCGGCUUUCUGGACUGUAACUGACGCUGAGGCACGAAAGCGUGGGGAGC